GUCCACGCUGUAAACGAUGGGCACUAGGUGUCCGGGGUAUUGACCCCCUGGGUGCCGCAGCUAACGCAUUAAGUGCCCUGCCUGGGGAGUACGGUCGCAAGAUUAAAACUAAAAGGAAUUGACGGGGGCCCGCACAAGCGGUGGAGCAUGUGGUUCAAUUCGACGCAACGCGAAGAACCUUACCUGGGCUAGACAACGGUGGACCGUCCUAGAAAUAGGAUCUUCCCUUCGGGGACUGCCGGUUCAGGUGCUGCAUGGCUGUCGU
rnacentral:rRNA from 1 species